AUUGAACGCUGGCGGCAGGCCUAACACAUGCAAGUCGAACGAGUGGCGGACGGGUGAGUAAUGUCUGGGAAACUGCCUGAUGGAGGGGGAUAACUACUGGAAACGGUAGCUAAUACCGCAUACCAUCGGAUGUGCCCAGAUGGGAUUAGCUAGUAGGUGGGGUAAAGGCUCACCUAGGCGACGAUCCCUCGCUGGUCUGAGAGGAGGACCAGCCACACGGGAACUGAGACACGGUCCGGACUCCUACGGGGGGCAGCAGUGGGAAAUAUUGCACAAUGGGCGCAGGCCUUAUGAAGCCAUGCCGCGUGUAUGAAGAAGGCCUUCGGGUUGUAAAGUACUUUCAGCGGGGAGGCGUUACCCGCAGAAGAAGCCCCGGCUAACUCCGUGCCAGCAGCCGCGGUAAUUC
rnacentral:rRNA from 1 species